CAGGUUAAGACAACUCUGAAUAGAUCAAGUCCAAGGUUAUUCGAUAUGUCAAAAAUCAUCCACAGAGAACCCUAACCUGAAAGGAUGUGCAGUGAAAAUGA